rnacentral:rRNA from 1 species
ACGCUCGACACCUACGGGAAGCAGCAGUGGGGAAUAUUGCACAAUGGGGGAAACCCUGAUGCAGCGACGCCGCGUGAAGGAAGAAGUAUCUCGGUAUGUAAACUUCUAUCAGCAGGGAAGAAAAUGACGGUACCUGACUAAGAAGCCCCGGCUAACUACGUGCCAGCNCGCGCGUAUCUGAGGCGGGCGUGGACGAAGGC